GAUGAACGCUGGCGGCGUGCCUAAUACAUGCGAGUCGAGCGAACGGACGAGAAGCUUGCUUCUCUGAUGUUAGCGGCGGACGGGUGAGUAACACGUGGAUAACCUACCUAUAAGACUGGGAUAACUUCGGGAAACCGUAGCUAAUACCGGAUAAUAUUUUGAACCGCAUGGUUCAAAAGUGAAAGACGGUCUUGCUGUCACUUAUAGAUGGAUCCGCGCUGCAUUAGCUAGUUGGUAAGGUAACGGCUUACCAAGGCAACGAUGCAUAGCCGACCUGAGAGGGUGAUCGGCCACACUGGAACUGAGACACGGUCCAAACUCCUACGGGAGGCAGCAGUAGGGAAUCUUCCGCAAUGGGCGAAAGCCUGACGGAGCAACGCCGCGUGAGUGAUGAAGGUCUUCGGAUCGUAAAACUCUGUUAUUAGGGAAGAACAUAUGUGUAAGUAACUGUGCACAUCUUGACGGUACCUAAUCAGAAAGCCACGGCUAACUACGUG
rnacentral:rRNA from 1 species